rfam:Stegodyphus mimosarum contig4213, whole genome shotgun sequence.
GCCUUUGUAGUGUACUGGUCAGCAUACUCGACGUGUAUUUGAGAGGUCCGAGGUUCGAGUCCCGGCGAGGGCA